UACGUAGGGGGCGAGCGUUGUCCGAAGUUACUGGGCGUAAAGCGCGCGUAGGCGGUCUCUUAAGUCUGGUGUGAAAGGUUCAGGGCUCAACCCGAAGAGUGCACUGGAGACUGGGAGACUUGAGUGGGGGAGAGGAGAGUGGAAUUCCUGGUGUAGCGGUGAAAUGCGUAGAUAUCAGGAGGAACACCGAUGGCGAAGGCAGCUCUCUGGCCCCUAUCUGACGCUGAGGUGCGAAAGCGUGGGGAGCGAACGGG
rnacentral:rRNA from 1 species